rnacentral:lncRNA from 13 species
AUUCUAUUGUGUGAGGGGCUGUGGUGAGGUACAGGUCUGUAAGGUACCGUACCUACAGGAGGAUGGAGGACAGAACAAAACAUUCUGCUUUAGAAGAGUUUCUCCCAAAAUAAACAACAAAAACAGAGCAAAUAUCUCAAAAGGGAGAGAGGUUUCACAGUUUUUCAGAAGUUAUACAGUGGCUUAGUAGUCUCGUGGGGGUAAACUUGACUCAUACAAAAGAAACCUGACAGUCAACAUUUCAAACCUCACAUCUCCCAGAUGAAAAUGGUCUCCACAGCAUUUGCAACCAAAAUAGGGUUGUUUUUAAGUUGAAUAUCUCCUACAGUGAUUUAACUUCAAAACUACCUGUAAUGUUUUGAUCUGUCCUCCAUACCUGCUCUCCCCCUCAGUCACACUCAUUCAGUGGUUGGUUGGUGUAUUUGAUUAACACAGGGUGGGUGGUGUGUGUAAGCCCUCUGUAAGUCAUCUGUUUAACUGUCUGUCCCCAUACGCACAUAGAGAUCUGGGGGGGGGGGGGG